AGCUCCAAUAGCGUAUAUUAAAGUUGUUGCAGUUAAAAAGCUCGUAGUUGGAUUUCUGGUUUGAGCGUCCGGUCCGCCUCCUUUGGAGGUGUGUUACUAAGGAUGUUUGAGCCAUUUUUUGUGAGGAUGUUCUUCUGCCAUUAAGUUGGUGGUUGAAUAGACUUGCAUCGUUUACUGUGAAAAAAUUAGAGUGUUUAAAGCAGGCGUUUGCUCAUUGAAUACAUUAGCAUGGAAUAAUAAGAUACGACCUUGGUGGUCUAUUUUGUUGGUUUGCACACCGAGGUAAUGAUUAAUAGGGACAGUUGGGGGUAUUCAUAUUUCAGCGUCAGAGGUGAAAUUCUUGGAUCGCUGAAAGAUGAGCUUAGGCGAAAGCAUUUACCAAGGAUGUUU
rnacentral:rRNA from 1 species